UAAGAGCAACUCCAAUGCUAUUUUACGCCAUGUUCUGGAGGCCAUGAGAACUUGUUUUUAUGUUCUAUCCCAUUGGAGUGGAAUGACAUGAAUGCCAUGUUGGAGAACGGUUCUCCCUGAAGAAUAUUGGAGAACACUGUUUUCUGCAUUAACUUGUCAGAAAAAGAAGAAAACAAGAGAGAGGGGAAGUGGAGUUGGGGAAGGAAAAGAAGAAAGGGGAGAAGUCUGAAGUGUAGGAC
rnacentral:lncRNA from 1 species